AUGAACGCUAGCUACAGGCUUAACACAUGCAAGUCGAGGGGCAGCGGGAUUGAAGCUUGCUUCAAUUGCCGGCGACCGGCGCACGGGUGAGUAACGCGUAUCCAACCUUCCGUACACUCAGGGAUAGCCUUUCGAAAGAAAGAUUAAUACCUGAUGGUAUGAUGAGAUUGCAUGAUAUCAUCAUUAAAGAUUUAUCGGUGUACGAUGGGGAUGCGUUCCAUUAGGUAGUAGGCGGGGUAACGGCCCACCUAGCCAACGAUGGAUAGGGGUUCUGAGAGGAAGGUCCCCCACAUUGGAACUGAGACACGGUCCAAACUCCUACGGGAGGCAGCAGUGAGGAAUAUUGGGCAAUGGACGAGAGUCUGAACCAGCCAAGUAGCGUGAAGGAGGAAGGUCCUACGGAUUGUAAACUUCUUUUAUAAGGGAAUAAACCCUCCCACGUGUGGGAGCUUGUAUGUACCUUAUGAAUAAGCAUCGGCUAACUCCGUG
rnacentral:rRNA from 1 species